GGGAGACAUGGUCCAAGCCCGGUGAAAAGAUGAAAUAAAAAAAGAUUAUGAUGUCAAAAUCUUGCGCCCUUGUUUUUCCAAUUUCCCGGCUACUGCGUGUUGAUUAUACUUAUUUAAGUAUGACGUAUAUGUAUAUUCUAUUUUUUUUCUUUUUUUAUGGCAUCAUCCGGGUUUUCAAGACCCGGUCAAGGAAUUGGAAAAUUCCUUGAAUGGAUUUCUCUGAGCACAAAAUAGAGUGUUUAGUUGAAUAUUCGUUGGUGUCGAAAUGGAGCACCAAGAGUGGUUGGACAUCUAUGGUAAUUAAUGGUAACAUUGAUUAUCAUAGACGGUCGAUAUACUUUUGUAAUCUCCGAUCAUCAACCAAAUCCAUACCAUUAUUGUAGAAAGACAAUAAUGGCUGUGGAUUAAAGUUGAUUGAUUCCUAAGUUGGAACCUUAGGCGCCCCCCCCCCGAAUCCGAUUUAUUUGGAUCAAUAGGGAGAGUAGAUUAUGAUGGUGUUUUACGACGUUAGCAUUAAAGAA
rnacentral:lncRNA from 1 species